rnacentral:rRNA from 1 species
GACGUAGGGCGCGAGCGUUGUCCGGAUUUAUUGGGCGUAAAGAGCUCGUAGGCGGCUUGUUGCGUCGACUGUGAAAACCCGCGGCUUAACUGCGGGCUUGCAGUUGAUACGGGCAGGCUAGAGUUCGGUAGGGGGAGACUGGAAUUCCGUGGUGUAGCGGUGAAAUGCGCAGAUAUCAGGAGGAACACCGGUGGCGAAGGCGGGUCUCUGG